rnacentral:rRNA from 1 species
UGGGGAAUAUUGCACAAUGGGCGAAAGCCUGAUGCAGCGAGCGCCGCGUGAGGGAUGACGGCCUUCGGGUUGUAAACCUCUUUCAGCAGGGAAGAAGCGAAAGUGACGGUACCUGCAGAAGAAGCGCCGGCUAACUACGUGCCAGCAGCCGCGGUAAUACGUAGGGCGCAAGCGUUGUCCGGAAUUAUUGGGCGUAAAGAGCUCGUAGGCGGUUAGUCGCGUCUGCUGUGAAAACUCGAGGCUCAACCUCGGGCUUGCAGUGGGUACGGGCUGACUAGAGUGCGGUAGGGGUGACUGGAAUUCCUGGUGUAGCGGUGGAAUGCGCAGAUAUCAGGAGGAACACCGAUGGCGAAGGCAGGUCACUGGGCCGCAACUGACGCUGAGGAGCGAAAGCAUGGGGAGCGAACAGGAUUAGAUACCCUGGUAGUCCAUGCCGUAAACGUUGGGCACUAGGUGUGGGGUCCAUUCCACGGAUUCCGUGCCGCAGCAAACGCAUUAAGUGCCCCGCCUGGGGAGUACGGCCGCAAGGCUAGAACUCAAAGGAAUUGACGGGGGUCAUAGCUGUUUCCU